rnacentral:rRNA from 1 species
UACGUAGGGGGCGAGCGUUGUCCGAAGUUACUGGGCGUAAAGAGCGCGUAGGCGGCUCGUUAAGUGAGAAGUGAAAGCUGUGGGCUCAACCCACAAACCGCUUUUCAUACUGGCGAGCUGGAGUGAUGCAGAGGUGGAUAGAAUUCCUGGUGUAGCGGUGAAAUGCGUUGAUAUCAGGAGGAAUACCCGUGGCGAAGGCGGUCCACUGGGCAUCAACUGACGCUGAGGCGCGAAAGCGUGGGUAGCAAACAGG